ACGAACGCUGGCGGCGUGCUUAACACAUGCAAGUCGAACGGUGAAGCACCUUCCUUUUGGUGGGUGUGGAUGAGUGGCGAACGGGUGAGUAACACGUGAGUAACCUGCCCCCUUCUUCUGGAUAACCGCAUGAAAGUGUGGCUAAUACGGGAUAUUCUGUGCCUGCUGCAUGGUGGGUGUGGGAAAGAUGCGCUUUUGGGUGUUUUUGGUGGGGGAUGGGCUCGCGGCCUAUCAGCUUGUAGGUGGGGUGAUGGCCUACCAAGGCGGUGACGGGUAGCCGGCCUGAGAGGGUGGACGGUCACACUGGGACUGAGACACGGCCCAGACUCCUACGGGAGGCAGCAGUGGGGAAUAUUGCACAAUGGGCGCAAGCCUGAUGCAGCGACGCCGCGUGAGGGAUGGAGGCCUUCGGGUUGUAAACCUCUUUCGCCAGUGAAGCAGGCCUGUCCCUUGUGGGUGGGUUGACGGUAGCUGGAUAAGAAGCGCCGGCUAACUACGU
rnacentral:rRNA from 1 species